GAAGAUGUCAAAGACAGACACAAUCCUCUUGCUGGGGGCUGAGGUCGCAUUUUGCCCACUGGCAACUUUGAAAUAUUGCUUAUUU